UUCCUACGGGGGGCAGCAGUGAGGAAUAUUGGUCAAUGGCCGCAGGGCUGAACCAGCCAAGUCGCGUGAGGGAUGACGGUCCUAUGGAUUGUAAACCUCUUUUGUCGGGGAGCAAAGCGAGUCACGUGUGACUCAUUGAGAGUACCCGAAGAAAAAGCAUCGGCUAACUCCGUGCCAGCAGCCGCGGUAAUACGGAGGAUGCGAGCGUUAUCCGGAUUUAUUGGGUUUAAAGGGUGCGCAGGCGGAGGUGCAAGUCAGCGGUCAAAUUGCGGGGCUCAACCCCGUACUGCCGUUGAAACUGCAUC
rnacentral:rRNA from 1 species